CCUACGGGAGGCAGCAGUGGGGAAUAUUGGACAAUGGGGGGAACCCUGAUCCAGCGACGCCGCGUGAGUGAAGAAGUAUUUCGGUAUGUAAAGCUCUAUCAGCAGGGAAGAAAGAAAUGACGGUACCUGACUAAGAAGCCCCGGCCAACUACGUGCCAGCAGCCGCGGUAAGACGUAGGGGGCAAGCGUUAUCCGGAUUUACUGGGUGUAAAGGGAGCGUCGACGGCGAUGCAAGUCUGAAGUGAAAGGGGGGGGCCCAACCCCCGGACUGCUUUGGAAACUGUGUGGCUGGAGUGCAGGAGAGGUAAGUGGAAUUCCUAGUGUAGCGGUGAAAUGCGUAGAUAUUAGGAGGAACACCAGUGGCGAAGGCGGCUUACUGGACUGUAACUGAUGUUGAGGCUCGAAAGCGUGGGGAGCAAACAGGAUUAGAUACCCGAGUAGUC
rnacentral:rRNA from 1 species